rnacentral:rRNA from 1 species
CCUACGGGAGGCUGCAGUGGGGACUAUUGGACAAUGGGGGGAACCCUGAUCCAGCCAUGCCGCGUGUGUGAAGAAGGCCCUCAGGUUGUAAAGCACUUUCAGUGAGGAAGAACGCCUGGUGGUUAAUACCCAUCAGGAAAGACAUCACUCACAGAAGAAGCACCGGCUAACUCCGUGCCAGCGGCCGCGGUAAUACGGAGGGUGCGAGCGUUAAUCGGAAUUACUGGGCGUAAAGCGCGCGUAGGUGGCUUGAUAAGCCGGUUGUGAAAGCCCCGGGCUCAACCUGGGAACGGCAUCCGGAACUGUCAAGCUAGAGUGCAGGAGAGGAAGGUAGAAUUCCCGGUGUAGCGGUGAAAUGCGUAGAGAUCGGGAGGAAUACCAGUGGCGAAGGCUGCCUUCUGGACUGACACUGACACUGAGGUGCGAAAGCGUGGGUAGCAAACAGGAUUAGAUACCCUAGUAGUC